rnacentral:rRNA from 1 species
AUUGAACGCUGGCGGCAGGCCUAACACAUGCAAGUCGAGCGAGCGGCGGACGGGUGAGUAAUGUCUGGGAAACUGCCUGAUGGAGGGGGAUAACUACUGGAAACGGUAGCUAAUACCGCAUACCAUAGGAUGAGCCCAAGUGGGAUUAGGUAGUUGGUGGGGUAAUGGCCUACCAAGCCGACGAUCUCUAGCUGGUCUGAGAGGAUGAUCCGCCACACUGGGACUGAGACACGGCCCAGACUCCUACGGUAGGCAGCAGUGGGGAAUUUUGGACAAUGGGCGCAAGCCUGAUCCAGCCAUGCCGCGUGUCUGAAGAAGGCCUUCGGGUUGUAAAGUUCUUUCGGUGACGAGGCGUUAAUCACAGAAGAAGCACCGGCUAACUCCGUGCCAGCCGCCGCGGUAAUUC